UACGAAGGGGGCUAGCGUUGUUCGGAAUUACUGGGCGUAAAGCGCACGCAGGCGGCUCGGUGAAUUAGAAGUGAAAGCCCUGGGCUCAACCCGGGAAUUGCUUUUAAGACUGGCGAGCUAGAAUCCAGAAGAGGGUAGCGGAAUUCCCAGUGUAGAGGUGAAAUUCGUAGAUAUUGGGAAGAACACCAGUGGCGAAGGCGGCUACCUGGUAUGGUAUUGACGCUCAGGUGCGAAAGCGUGGGGAGCAAACAGG
rnacentral:rRNA from 1 species